rnacentral:rRNA from 1 species
GACGAACGCUGGCGGCGUGCUUAACACAUGCAAGUCGAGCGGUAAGGCCCUUUCGGGGGUACGACGAGCGGCGAACGGGUGAGUAACACGUGGGUGACCUGCCCUCAGCUCUGGGAUAAGCCUGGGAAACCGGGUCUAAUACUGGAUAUGACUCCAUGACGCAUGUUGUGGGGUGGAAAGCCUUGUGCGGCUGAGGAUGGGCCCGCGGCCUAUCAGCUUGUUGGUGGGGUGANGGCCUACCAAGGCGACGACGGGUAGCCGGCCUGAGAGGGCGACCGGCCACACUGGGACUGAGACACGGCCCAGACUCCUACGGGAGGCAGCAGUGGGGAAGUCUUGCGCAAUGGGCGAAAGCCUGACGCAGCGACGCCGCGUGAGGGAUGACGGCCU